ACAUAAUUCCUUGUUUGGUAUUUGUAUGAGAGCUCUCUUGUUGUGCUUUUCGUUGCUUAAAAAUUAUAUGAGUGGUAGUGAUUAGGUGCUUAAGAAUUGUUAACAAUUAUAGGUAACAGAGAGCAAUUUGAAACCUUUAUGAUAGUAAUUGUGCGUUAUGAAUCGAUCCUAAAUGUGGGUUUUUGAGCAAUUUUGCUAUAAUUCUGUAUAAACCUUAUUUAAGUUGUGCAUUUUGCAUGGGACUAAAGUAGUUGCUGGCAAGCAUUCUGGUGCCCCUUCUUCUGUAGAAUGUCCCUUGUGCAAGGUUUGCUUUAUUCCACUUAUGUUUUACUUUAGCUUCACAUGACAAUUCAGGCCAUUUGUUUUGCCAUAUUGCUUACAGGAAUGAUGUCUCUGUAAAAUUUGUUAUUAAUGGCGGUAUUUUUUGAUUGUUCUGCUGACAGAAAAUGUUUCAAUAAUUUAUAGAUAUGAUGGAAGUUUAUUCCAAAGGCAGUAUUUAAACGAAAAUUUUGAUCUUAGUUCUUUCUUUGCAAAAGCUCACAAGUAUAGAUUAAAUUGCUAUUGUACUGAAUCAGUCAGGUAUCUUGAGCAAUAUAGUUAAUGCAUUGCAAUAUUGGAAGUCCCGCAAGUAUCUUCAACCAAAUCGGUGGCUGCAAAGUUGGUGGAGAAGAGAAAUUCAGGCUCUUUGGCAGGUCUUUUGGCACACAUGGAGGAAAUUAUGAAUUCCAGAAUCCCCAGCAACAACCACUCGAGGUUCAACCUCUCAACACUGUGCCUUACAUCAGUUCACCUGCACAAGUUGGUGAUUAUGACUCAUUGCGAACUGAAAGUGUCAAAGUGAUGCCCACCCUGCUGAAAAGGUUGGCCCAUGUAUGGUCUUUCUCCCAUCUAACACAACUAAAAAGGAAUGGGAUAACAUAGUGGUCUCUGCAAAAAGUGCAGUUGUGCUGACUGGGACUACAGCUAUGGGACUGGUGGGACCAAUUGUGGGAUUAAUGGACAUUGGGGAAUGUGAUGACGCCUACUUGUUUCGUGUCUCCCUACCUGGGUUAGCAAAAGAUGAAAAGGAAUUUAGUUGUGACAUGGAACCUGAUGGAACAAUAAUGAUAAGGGCGCGACAGCCACUGGUGAAAAAAUAGUGUGCAAGAACUCCCAAAUCUUUAGGAUGCAAACACAAAAUCUGCCCCAACCAGGGCAUUUCUCCAUUAAAUUUCAGCUACCUGGUCCAGUUGAUGACCAGCAGUUUUCAGGUCGUUUUGGGA